GGCGUUGCAAUUAAGAAAACCCUACUUCAUCAGAUGCUUAAUAUUUUCUCUCUCUGAACAAAAAAACAAGCGAUACUGCGAUACAGAGAAAGGGAAGGAGGAAAAAAAAAAAAAACUUGCAAUCCAGUGAAGAAUUGUGCGAUCAAACGUUUGUCCCAGAGGUAUUGAAAGAGAGGCGAUGAAAUCAAGAGAGAGGCUAUGAAGACACGGAGAAAGAAAUAGAAAAAGAGAGAAGCGAUGAAGACACAGUGAAACAAAUAGAAAAAGAGAGAGGCGAUCCUGGUACAUGGAGAAAGAAGAGAUUGCCUCUCUGUUUAUGACAGAACGGCUCUCUGCCCACAAACAACGCCUCUGAUGGACUCUAUUCUUUUUCUAAUUUAUUUAUAGAAAUAGAGAAAGAGAGGCGAUGAGGCCUGGGACAUAGAGAAAGAGGCAGAGUUCAGUUUCCCCACCACUGUCCGUUCCCUUUCCAGAUUUAGACCACCAGAUUGCCGGAACCGACAUCGACAAUGGUAACUAUCGACUGUCAUUCACAUAGGCAACAAAGCUCUACAUCAACUUUGACAUUCCAAAAGUCACAAGGAAAUUAUGCCAAAAGGACCUCCUAAAGGACUGGAUGGAUAACUUUCUUACAUAAUAGAAAAAUAGUUGCUGAAAUAGAAGACUUGGAAGCAUAAAAAAUGCUUAAGAAUUAUGCACCAAGUUCUCUUCUUCGUACCCUUUUCUUAUUUACUUAAUUUUCUGUUUUAUUUCAGAUUAUGAGAGAUUUAAUUUUCUGUAUUUAGGCUAUGGUUUUGUAAUCUGAGCAUCCUAAGACUCUUAUAUCAACAUGAAUUUAAGUUUUGUAAUAUAUGUGAUUCUAAUUUUGAACUUA